CCAUAGGUCACGAGAUCUGGAAAGACUUGUGGCUCAAAAUUCAGGCGCUUUAGGAUUGGUCUGCGGCCUAUCAGUUAAUAGUGGAUGUAACUGACCCACUAGCCGAUGACGGGUAUGGGCCUUGAGAGAGGGAGCCCAGAGAUGGAUUCUGAGACACGAAUCCAGGCCCUACGGGGCGCAGCAGUCGCGAAAACUUCACAAUGGAGGCAACUCCGAUGAGGGAAUUCCUAGUGCCAAUGCAUUUUGUGUUGGCUUUUCUUCAGCGUAGAUAACUGAUGGAAUAAGGGCUGGGUAAGACGGGUGCCAGCCGCCGCGGUAAUACCCGCAGCCCAAGUGGUGGUCGAUAUUAUUGAGUCUAAAACGUUCGUAGCCGGUUCAAUAAAUCUCUGGGUAAAUCGGAGGGCUCAACCUUCCGAAUUCCGGAGCGACUGUUGAACUUGGGACCGGGAGAGGCAAGAGGUACUUCUGGGGUAGGGGUAAAAUCCUGUAAUCCUAGAAGGACCACCGGUGGCGAAGGCGUCUUGCUAGAACGGAUCCGACGGUGAGGGACGAAGGCCUGGGUCGCAAACGGGAUUAGAUACCCCGGUAGUCCAGGGUGUAACGCUGCAGACUUGGUGU
rnacentral:rRNA from 1 species